UACGUAGGGUGCAAGCGUUGUCCGGAAUCAUUGGGCGUAAAGCGCGCGUAGGUGGUCAUGUAAGUCCGCUGUGAAAGUCAAAGGCUCAACCUUUGAAAGCCGGUGGAUACUGCAUGACUAGAGUACGGAAGAGGCGAGUGGAAUUCCUGGUGUAGCGGUGAAAUGCGCAGAUAUCGGGAGGAACACCAAUGGCGAAGGCAGCUUGCUGGGACGGUACUGACGCUGAGGCGCGAAAGCGUGGGGAGCGAACAGG
rnacentral:rRNA from 1 species